GUGUGAUUAGCUCAGCUGGCAGAGCACCUGACUCUUAAUCAGGGUGUCCAGGGUUCGAACCCCUGAUCACGCACCA
rnacentral:tRNA from 7 species